rnacentral:rRNA from 1 species
GGAUUGUAAACUUCUUUUAUAUGGGAAUAAAGUGCACCACGUGUGGUGUUUUGUAUGUACCAUAUGAAUAAGGAUCGGCUAACUCCGUGCCAGCAGCCGCGGUAAUACGGAGGAUCCGAGCGUUAUCCGGAUUUAUUGGGUUUAAAGGGAGCGUAGGCGGAUUGUUAAGUCAGUUGUGAAAGUUUGCGGCUCCACCGUAAAAUUGCAGUUGAUACUGGCAGUCUUGAGUGCAGUAGAGGUAAGCGGAAUUCGUGGUGUAGCGGUGAAAUGCUUAGAUAUCACGAAGAACUCCAAUUGCGAAGGCAGCUUGCUGGACUGUAACUGACGCUGAUGCUCGAGAGUGUGGGUAUCAAACAGGAUUAGAUACCCUGGUAGUCCACACAGUAAA